rnacentral:rRNA from 1 species
GUCGAGGGGAAACGGCAUUAUGUGCUUGCACAUUUUGGACGUCGACCGGCGCACGGGUGAGUAUCGCGUAUCCAACCUGCCCUUUACCUGGGGGAUACCCCGCUUGAAAGACGGCCUAAUACCCGAUUGUAAUUCAUUGAUGGCAUCAGAUAUGAAUAAAAGAUUUAUCGGUAAAGGAUGGGGAUGCGUCUGAUUAGCUUGUUGGUGAGGUAACGGCUCACCAAGGCAACGAUCAGUAGGGGUUCUGAGAGGAAGGUCCCCCACAUUGGAACUGAGACACGGUCCAAACUCCUACGGGAGGCAGCAGUGAGGAAUAUUGGUCAAUGGGCGCAAGCCUGAACCAGCCAAGUAGCGUGCAGGAAGACGGCCCUAUGGGUUGUAAACUGCUUUUAUACGAGAAUAAUUUGAUGCACGUGUGCGUUAUUGCAUGUAUCGUAUGAAUAAGGACCGGCUAAUUCCGUGCCAGCAGCCGCGGUAAUACGGAAGGUCCAGGCGUUAUCCGGAUUUAUUGGGUUUAAAGGGAGUGUAGGCGGCUUGUUAAGCGUGUUGUGAAAUUUAGGUGCUCAACAUUUAACUUGCAGCGCGAACUGUCAGACUUGAGUACACGCAACGUAUGCGGAAUUCAUGGUGUAGCGGUGAAAUGCUUAGAUAUCAUGAAGAACUCCGAUUGCGAAGGCAGCAUACGGGAGUGUAACUGACGCUUAAGCUCGAAGGUGCGGGUAUCGAACAGGAUUAGAUACCCUGGUAGUCCGCACAGUAAACGAUGGAUGCCCGCUGUUAGCGCCUGGCGUUAGCGGCUAAGCGAAAGCA